rnacentral:sRNA from 1 species
UAUGAUCCAAGUAACACAGAAGAAAUUGCAGAUGGGUUGCUUUUUCUUAAUUCAAGUCAUAUUUAUGAAAAACAAGAUGGAUGUUGCCACAAGACAGUGCAUUCCAUGGCAUCAAAGUUCAUGGAUGAUGACCUGAACAGUGAUGGUCCUCAUGAUGAAGGCUUAUGCUCUAGUCAGCAAAAUCCCAAAGUACAGAAAUACAUUAGCCUCAGCCUCCCGCUGUCUGAGGCAACUGCACACAUUUACCCAGGUGACAGUGCCGUGGCCAACAAACAACCCAGCCCACAGGUUUCCAGUGAAGACUCUGACAGUGACUAUGAACUUUGCCCAGAGAUAACCCUAACCUACACCGAGGAGUUUUCAGAUGAUGACCUGGAGUAUCUGGAAUGUUCCGAUGUUAUGACAGAUUACUCUAAUGCAGUUUGGCAAAGGAACCUGCUGGGGACUGAGCAUGUUUUUUUAUUAGAAAGCGAUGACGAAGAGAUGGAAUUCGGGGAGCAUUGCCUGGGUGGGUGUGAGCAUUUCCUCAGUGGAAUGGGUUGUGGGCCUCGGGUGUCGGGUGACGCUGGGCCUAUGGUUGCCACUGCUGGCUUCUGUGGUCAUCACUCACAAUCCCAAGAAGUUGGGGUGAGGAGCGGCAGAGUCUCCAAGCACGGUCCCUCAUCCCCACAAACAGGGAUGACUUUCAUUUUGGGACCUCACCAGGAUGGAACGUCUUCAGUGACAGAACAGGGGAGAUAUAAACUCCCCACUGCUCCCGAGGCUGCUGAAAAUGAUUAUCCAGGAAUUCAAGGAGAAACCAGAGACAGCCACCAAGCAAGAGAGGAAUUUGCCAGUGACAAUCUGCUCAACAUGGAUAAAUCAGUAAGAGAGACAGAGAGGAAGCUCUUGUCUGGUGAGUCGGAAAACUCAGGGAUGAGCCAGUGUUGGGAGACGGCAGCUGAGAAGAGAGUGGGGGGAAAGGACUUAUGGAGCAAGAGGGGUUCACAGAAACCUGCCAGGGUGAGGCAGCCGGGAAUGAAGGGAAAUCCCAAGAAGCCAAAUGCCAACCUGAGAGAAAGUACAACAGAAGGUACCCUUCAUCUCUGCUAUGCCAAAGAAUCUGCUAAGCACCCACUAACCCAGAGUGAUAAAAGAGAGACUUCUCACACCACAGCAGCAGCAACUGGUCGGAAUUCCCAUGCUGAUGCAAGAGAAUGUGCUAUUUCAACCCAGGCAGAGCAAGAAGCAAAAACCCUUCAAACUUCAACAGACUCAGUCUCCAAAGAAGGCAACACAAAUUGCAAGGGAGAAGCCAUGCAAGUUAAUACUCUAUUUGAAACAAGCCAGGUUCCAGACUGGAGUGAUCCUCCUCAGGUAAGACUUUUCUUUUAAAGAAAUUACGAGAUAAAAAGAACCGUGUGUGUGUGCGCGUGUGUGUCUUUUCCUUUACUUCACAUUCACAAUUGCUAUACCAUAAUGUAAAUCAAAAUAAGUUUCCCAACACCAUCAGGGUACUUGUGCAUGACAGCUGCUGCUGCUCGGAAGGAAAUCUGGUUUUGAAAAAAAGGCCCAGAUAAACCCUAAGCCAUCCUAAUUAUAGCAAAAGACUGAUAGAAGUUAAGAGGCACUAAUGGGAUUCUGGACAGCUGGAAAAAGAAAUCUGAUAUUUUGUCUGCUGCAUGUGUUUUACCAGGCAAUGCCACUAUUCAGAAAGUUUCUCAAGCAAAUGUUUUGGGUGUAGCCUUUAAAGGAAGAAGGGGGAAAAAACAUUGUUUUUAGUCAUUUGCAGGGGAGUGCUUUGAAAAUGAUAGGUCUUGGCUUUAAUCAGAAUUUGUGGUAUGAAUGAAAGGCUUCAAUGUGUCUGAAAGACUUGUAGAAGUCACUUUUUUUGUGAUGCUAGGGAAAGCAGGCAGAGUAACUUUUGCCACACUGGUGGGAUGUUUUUGAUUGGAUGUUUGUUUUAUUUUGUUUAAAACAGAGUAUAAAAGAGGCUAAGAGAAAAAAAAGCUGCCAAGAAAUAAAUUUGUUUUCCCUUAUUACUGAUUUGGGAGUGUAAAGAGAUGGAAUUAAAUUUAUAGGAAUAAUCAAUGCACAAAAGAUGUUGUGCUUGAUACAUAACUUAUGUUUUUAAUGAUAUUUUCAAGUUUUAAAGGGUCCCAAAUGAGCUUUGGACUUAUGCUGUAGUAUGGGCAAGAUUUGAGUUUUGUAAAUAAAUACCUAAGAAAACUU